rnacentral:antisense_RNA from 1 species
UGUUAUGGCGGCUGUGCGUAGGGCGUCCAAGGGCGCGCUGGGUUCCUGGAGUCCCGGUCUACCAACCUGCGUACAGCCACCACCCUA